AGCUACCCAACUGAGUAUGCAGCGUAUCUCUGUCGAGUUCAAUCCGGCUCUCACAAGCCCAAGUCAAAUAACCGAAUCUAACUGGUUUAACAAUCAACAGAUCAUGUGCCCUCAGCACAAUCCGAUGCCAAAACGGCGACAUGGGUCCACCGUCAACCCUGACGGUCCCCAACAGUCCGGAACAGUCUGAAUUCUACUGUAAAAAUACAUUCGGUAUCCCAGCACGAGCGUAACAGAAAUCUAAACUAUCUAGGGUAUC
rnacentral:lncRNA from 1 species